CCAAUUAGAAAUAUUUUCUCAUGCAGCCAUUCAUUCUUUCUAGUACAAAAGACAUCACACACCACCAGCACAUCAGCAGAGCACACCUUUGGCACCAAGAGCUGAGGUAAUGCAGCACCUUCAUUCAUGCCUUUAAUAUGACUGCCACAAAUGAACAGCAAAGACAAAUGAUAGGAACUUCUAAAUACUUGAUGAAGCCUCACCCUGAGCACUGGCAGCAUCUGAGCAUUUUGAACCUUUUACCCUGGCUUCCUGUGGCAGUAAAAUAUCCUGAAUUUGAUCAGAGUCAAUACCAUGGACAACAAGCAACAACUGAGGAUCUUUUCUAAGACCUUGCAUAAAUAUCUGGGUAAAGAGACCACAGCUACACCACUGAAUUCCUCACAAGAUGCAGUAUCAUGACAAUAGGUUGGAGGAAACCACCUGGGAAGCCUUGAGAAUAAAAAUCCAUACAAGGGGCAUGAGC